GAGACAGAGGCUGUCACCAACUCACAGUCACUGACACGGGGCCCACCCAGGUCGAGGGGUGUGGAAUGACUUCAGGAGACCAAAGUGGGGAGCAAGUAAGGAGGACUGGCACCCCUAGUGUGGCCUGCAUGGAGGUGACGAUGCAGUGAGCAGGGUCCUCCCUCCCAAUGUCAUCUCGGACUGUGCUGAAGUCAUCGUCCUCUUCCACCAGGAGAUUCUGCAUUUCAAAAUAAGGAAGGAGCCACGUAUUCAGACAUCGUUUUAGCCUACGUUUGAAUAAAUAUUUUCCAAGGAAAAGACAGACUCGGUUGAUGCCCACCCCUGCUCCAGGUAAGCCCACCAUCAACUGGGUGCUAGUGUUCUG